GAUGAACGCUAGCGGCAGGCUUAAUACAUGCAAGUCGAGGGGCAUCAAGGUACACGAAAGUGUAUUGUUGGCGACCGGCGGACGGGUGAGUAAUAGGUAGGUAACCUACCUCAUACUGAGGCAUAGCUGGGAGAAAUUCCAGGUAAUUCCUCAUGAGGUUAUAUGACACAUGUGAUAUAAUCAAAGGUAUCGCAAGGUACUGGUAUGAGAUGGGCUUACUGACCAUUAGCUAGUUGGUGAGAUAAGAGCUCACCAAGGCGAAGAUGGUUAGGGGUUUUGAGAGAGAGACUCCCCCACAUUGGAACUGAGAUACCGGUCCAGACUCCUACGGGAGGCAGCAGUAGGGAAUAUUGGGCAAGUGGGCGGAAGCCUGACCCAGCCAUGCCGCGUGAAGGAAGACGGCCUUAUGGGUUGUAAACUUCUUUACUAUGCGACUAACUAGAUUUACGAGAUAAUUCUAUAGAAUGUAGCAUAGCAAAAGCACCGGCUAA
rnacentral:rRNA from 1 species